ACUCAAAGGAAUAGACGGGGGCCCGCACAAGCGGUGGAGCAUGUGGUUUAAUUCGAUGCAACGCGAAAAACCUUACCUGGGUUUGACAUCCCCUGACAGGUGUAGAGAUACGCUUUUCUCUUCGGAGACAGGGAGUACAGGUGCUGCAUGGCUGUCGUCAGCUCGUAUCGUGAGAUGUCGGGUUAAGUCCCUUAACGAGCGCAACCCUUAUCCCUAGUUGCCAUCAUUUAGUUGGGCACUCUAUGGAGACUGCCGGUGUUAAACCGGAGGAAGGCGGGGAUGACGUCAAGUCCUCAUGGCCCCUAUGUCCAGGGCUACACACGUGCUACAAUGGCCGGUACAGAGGGUUGCCAACCCGCAAGGGGGAGCUAAUCUCAGAAAGCCGGUCUCAGUUCGGAUUGGAGUCUGCAACUCGACUCCAUGAAGCUGGAAUCGCUAGUAAUCGCAGAUCAGCACGCUGCGGUGAAUACGUUCCCGGGCCUUGUACACACCGCCCGU
rnacentral:rRNA from 1 species